CAAAUGCGAUAAGCAAUGCGAAUUGCAGAAUUCCGCGAGUCAUCAGAUCUUUGAACGCAAGUGGCGCCGGAGGGAUCUCCUUUCGGCAUGUCUGUCUCAGUGUCUGAGAGGUUUCACAUAAAUCUUAAUGUGAUUGACGAAGGUGGAUAAGAAGAGAAUAUUCUUCUCUCUCUUUCUUCCCGAUGCUCUCAUGAAAGAUGCGCAAGUGGAUCUUGCGGUCAAAUGAAGUGGUCACAUCACUCGCAUGUGAUUUCAUUGGAGUAAUAACCAAACCGAAUUAUCCGAUUACUUGUGAUUUUCUAACAUAACAAACUUCCAUACCCUGCAUCUGAGACAGGCAAGAUCACCCGCUGAACUUAA
rnacentral:misc_RNA from 1 species